rnacentral:rRNA from 1 species
GACGAACGCUGGCGGCGUGCCUAAUACAUGCAAGUAGAACGCUGAAGGAGGAGCUUGCUUCUCUGGAUGAGUUGCGAACGGGUGAGUAACGCGUAGGUAACCUGCCUGGUAGCGGGGGAUAACUAUUGGAAACGAUAGCUAAUACCGCAUAAGAGUAGAUGUCGCAUGACAUUUGCUUAAAAGUUGCAAUUGCAUCACUACCAGAUGGACCUGCGUUGUAUUAGCUAGUUGGUGAGGUAACGGCUCACCAAGGCAACGAUACAUAGCCGACCUGAGAGGGGGGUCGGCCACACUGGGACUGAGACACGGCCCAGACUCCUACGGGAGGCAGCAGUAGGGAAUCUUCGGCAAUGGACGGAAGUCUGACCGAGCAACGCCGCGUGAGUGAAGAAGGUUUUCGGAUCGUAAAGCUCUGUUGUAAGAGAAGAACGAGUGUGAGAGUGGAAAGUUCACACUGUGACGGUAUCUUACCAGAAAGGGACGGCUAACUACGUG